GUUGUAGCUCAGUGGUAGAGUGCUUGCCUAGAAUGUGUGAGGCACUAGGUUCAAUUCUAGUUCAAUA
rnacentral:tRNA from 1 species